GAGAGGAGAACGGAUGAUUCACUUUCCAUUUGAUGUUAACAAGCAGUCUGAUGAGUUCUUAGACGCCACGUCAAAUACAGUCUUUCUGAACUAAUCAAGGAACAUAUCCGCAGUUAUUAAAAAGGUCAUGGCUUUUUACUAAAUCUUGAUGCUUGGCAGUGAAUAUGCUAAAACUUAAGGUGCCAUCAUAUUUCAUUUGCAGGCAAACUUAGGUGUGUAGUACGGCACAGUCACCUUGAACAGAGUAGUUGAAACUCUAAGGUCAUUACUUGAGGGGAUGAAACUUACCAUCUGCCCCCUACAUCGACCCCAUGGUACAAUGUAAGGUUUCAGAAUUCGGCAGGAUUUUCAAUACUGUAGCCAUGGAGUUUCUUCGAGGACGGGAAAAACACAAAGGCUUCUAUGAUGGAUAUACAUCUGUGAUUCAUGUGACCUUGAUACAACUUAUCAGUUUUUUGAAUAAGUGCAAAUACUUUAUCGUUGCCAAUGUGAAAUGGCGAGCAGGUGUUAUCUUCCUAUGUAUUUAUUUGAAAAGAAGUCAACAACGUUGAAGAAUUUUUACUGAUUUCUCUGUAACUACUAACCUUGCCUUGAUUUGAGGACUGGACACUCCAAGACAGUUGGGGACAUUCUGAAACCAUUUCUUGUGCUAUUCCAUUUCCCCCUUUUCUGUUUAUCAUGUCAGAAUGAUGAAUGACAUAAAAAGGACUUGACAUGGCUGUUUCUAUUGGCUUUUGAAGGGAGAUUUGGUCUGUCAAUUUCGCCUCUAGCUCUUAUGAUGGAGAUUACACAAUGUUAAAGUUUUUCUAUUAGCUUUCCCGCAAUGAAAUUGUAAGAGUCCAAGCCCACCGCUAGCAGAUAUUGUCCUUAUUGGGCUUUUCCUUUCGGGCUUCCCCCUAAGGUUUUUAAAACGUGUCUACUAGGGAGAGGUUUCUAUACUCUUACAAAUAGUGCUUUAUUCUCUUCUCCAACCGAUGUGAGAUCUCAUAUGCAGAAUAGGUUAUGUGGAUAACGUUGCAUGUGCAAUGGGUGCCACAUGUUUUGACCCCGUUGAAACUUUCUCCAAGAACUUGCUGUGUUUGGAUCUUGUCUAGACGCUGUCCAUGGGAUAGAGGGAUAGCUAUUCUCCAUAUUGGGGGGUGAAUUUAGUUGGCGCUCGAGCGAGUGGUUGGAUUAUUUCACUCGAUCAUAAUGUCUCAACGUGACAGCAAAACGCCCUGACAUCACGAGUCGAUCAGUUUGCAUCUCAGCCAAGUUUGCUUCGACGUGAUGAGCUCGACCCGAGCGGUAGGAAAUUAAAAGAAGGCUGCAAAACUUUGUAAAAACUUCUAUCAAACUACAAAGUUUCUUAUCCAUGGAGAUGGUUUGGCUGAAUCUAACCCCCCAUAUGUUUUGAGUCAUUUGAACAAAAAUUCUCGUGUUAUUUGGUAUUCUUUUGUAGUGUUUUAUUAGAUGCAUGG